rnacentral:rRNA from 1 species
UGAUGUUAGCGGCGGACGGGUGAGUAACACGUGGGUAACCUGCCUGUAAGACUGGGAUAACUCCGGGAAACCGGGGCUAAUACCGGAUGGUUGUUUGAACCGCAUGGUUCAGACAUAAAAGGUGGCUUCGGCUACCACUUACAGAUGGACCCGCGGCGCAUUAGCUAGUUGGUGAGGUAACGGCUCACCAAGGCAACGAUGCGUAGCCGACCUGAGAGGGUGAUCGGCCACACUGGGACUGAGACACGGCCCAGACUCCUACGGGAGGCAGCAGUAGGGAAUCUUCCGCAAUGGACGAAAGUCUGACGGAGCAACGCCGCGUGAGUGAUGAAGGUUUUCGGAUCGUAAAGCUCUGUUGUUAGGGAAGAACAAGUGCCGUUCAAAUAGGGCGGCACCUUGACGGUACCUAACCAGAAAGCCACGGCUAACUACGUGCCAGCAGCCGCGGUAAUACGUAGGUGGCAAGCGUUGUCCGGAAUUAUUGGGCGUAAAGGGCUCGCAGGCGGUUUCUUAAGUCUGAUGUGAAAGCCCCCGGCUCAACCGGGGAGGGUCAUUGGAAACUGGGGAACUUGAGUGCAGAAGAGGAGAGUGGAAUUCCACGUGUAGCGGUGAAAUGCGUAGAGAUGUGGAGGAACACCAGUGGCGAAGGCGACUCUCUGGUCUGUAACUGACGCUGAGGAGCGAAAGCGUGGGGAGCGAACAGGAUUAGAUACCCUGGUAGUCCACGCCGUAAACGAUGAGUGCUAAGUGUUAGGGGGUUUCCGCCCCUUAGUGCUGCAGCUAACGCAUUAAGCACUCCGCCUGGGGAGUACGGUCGCAAGACUGAAACUCAAAGGAAUUGACGGGGGCCCGCACAAGCGGUGGAGCAUGUGGUUUAAUUCGAAGCAACGCGAAGAACCUUACCAGGUCUUGACAUCCUCUGACAAUCCUAGAGAUAGGACGUCCCCUUCGGGGGCAGAGUGACAGGUGGUGCAUGGUUGUCGUCAGCUCGUGUCGUGAGAUGUUGGGUUAAGUCCCGCAACGAGCGCAACCCUUGAUCUUAGUUGCCAGCAUUCAGUUGGGCACUCUAAGGUGACUGCCGGUGACAAACCGGAGGAAGGUGGGGAUGACGUCAAAUCAUCAUGCCCCUUAUGACCUGGGCUACACACGUGCUACAAUGG